CCUAACCAGAAAGCCACGGCUAACUACGUGCCAGCAGCCGCGGUAAUACGUAGGUGGCAAGCGUUGUCCGGAAUUAUUGGGCGUAAAGCGCGCGCAGGCGGUUUCUUAAGUCUGAUGUGAAAGCCCCCGGCUCAACCGGGGAGGGUCAUUGGAAACUGGGGAACUUGAGUGCAGAAGAGGAGAGUGGAAUUCCACGUGUAGCGGUGAAAUGCGUAGAGAUGU
rnacentral:rRNA from 1 species